GAGGGAGGGAGGCUGCGGACGAGUGCGGGGAGGAGUUUGAGAUGGGAGGCGCUUGCAGGGGCUCCCCCAGUUCUGCGCUGUGAGCCGGGGCACAAAGAGCCCUCUGCACUAGCGCCGCAGGACCGCGGACCCGAGUUGGAGGCAUCUGUCCACCCAUGUGGUUCCAGACACGUUCAUGUGGCCACCAUGACCCCGUCGGCAUCACAGGGGUAACCAAGGUCCACAGAACGAGGGGAAAGGGUCACUGUGGAUCAAGCCAGGCUCCUCUGAGCAGUCCAGGGUCUAUUUACAGAGAGCAGCAAGUUCCUGGGACAGAGGAGACAGAAGGGAAUUUCCAGGUUCUUCAGGACGUUCACAACCACACUGAGAAGCAUCUUUGCAGAUAAGUAUUUAAACUUACCAGCCCAUAGCCUACCAGCCUGCCCUCUUCUGGUCUGUGCAGGAAAGUGUAGUAUCCUAGAAUGCCAAAGUGGGAGGGGAAAUGGGUGAUGUAGCUCAUUCUCUUUUCUACCUCUAUGGAAGAAAGAAAGAGCCUGUCCCCAUUUUGUGGGGUCCCAGAAAGGGUGAUUUUCACACUUCACAUUUGGCGUUAGGGCUAGUAUUUCACAAACAUUACCGUCUGGAACUUUUGAAGGCUGAGUUAAAUGACUUCAUCUUGUGUACUUGUAGAACUGCUAUUAGAAGGAGGCUGGGGACUCCCUGAUGAUGUGAACCAGCCCUUCUCUUCUCAGUUUCAGCACUUUGUGAUCAUAUUUAUAAACCUUGGACAGGGCUCCUUGGCCUUAGAGUUAAGUGAAGAGUUAACACUGUGACUUUAGAUGCAUUUUUCUCAGUGUAAGUGUCUGAGCUCAUCUCCAGUUCUGGACUCGUGCCCCCACUCCCGGGUGCUGACAGCAAGCUCUGAAGAUAUGCUGAGAGAGCUCCCUGACUCUCCUGACUCAGGUCUGCCAGUUGAUGAAGACAGCACAGUUGUUACCAAAAACAAAACCUGGCAGAUGGUCCUAGGUCAGGAUUAGUGGUCAUUCUCUGGUCUUCUCCAGACUGGUGACACAGGGUGGUCUUAAAAGAGUCCUAGUCCAGCCUCUGGCUCCCCGAAUUUCCUCUGGUGCAUGGGGCAUCAGGAAAGGGCAGGGGAGAAGGAGGGGGAGCAGAAAAAUAACUGAGGCUGGGCAGAAGGGUCCCUUCCAUUUCCCAUCCAUUGCUUCAAACAAUGGGUGAUUACCGUGCACCUUGAGUGAAUGUCAAGGCAGGAAGGGUUCCAGGGCCACCCAGUGUGGCAGGAGCAGAGCUGGGAUCAGAAUUCUGGAUUCCUGACUCUCCGUUCAGCUGCUAUUCAGCUAUCACCAAGCUGCUGAGUUUGUCCUACUUUCUCCUGGGUCACAUUCUGCUGUUGUUGGGAAACAGGGAGUGAGUGAAGGGAACCUGGGAACCCUUCUCCCCUCACCUUUUAAGGAUGUUCUGGGGUGGAAUAAAGAGAGGUGGAGGGUGGGGUGCCUGGGCCCAGCCUCCCUGGCUCCUGGUCCUUCUUUCUUCAGCAGGGAGUUCUGGCAAGGCCUGGGCCUGGGGAGGGGGCCUGGGUGCAGUUUUCUCCUGCGGUGUGGUUGGCUCUUUUGUCUUCCAGGAUGGGCCUGUGGGGUCUGUGUGGGGAAGGAAGGAGCUGGGAGCCUGGGCUGCCUGUGUGUCGGCUGGAUGCUGCCAGCACCGGCAUGGACCAAGCAACUUCUCUGAGCCAGAUGCUGGGGACGCAGAGGUGAACCCAGAGACAUGAUCCCAUCUGCUCAGAUCUUCAUGUCAGAACACGCUUUAUUACAGUCUCGGCAAGGGGGUGGCUCCAUCUGGGCCGCAUCUCCAGGACUCCUGGCCUGGACUUCUCUUUGGACCUCGGGUGACCUUGGAUUCUGGCCACAGUGACUUAGCGGUCAGACUCCGGUGGUUUUCUAGCCCGCUGGGUGACUCCCUGAAGAUCUCAUCCUCUUCACACCUGUUGGGAUGGAGCCUCCCAUGGAUAGGAACUCUUCCUGGUUGAUGCUCAGCAGAUGACUGAUCUGGCUCUGGAGGACAGCUCCAGGGGUAUGAGGGAGGCCUGGCAGCCCACUACUCCCUCCUCACCUGCUCGGGCCCUGCCUGCUGGGCCCUAUUGUCUGGGUCUGGGGGCCCUUUCCUGCCCCAUGUGAACUUGAUUCCUCCUCGCGUUUCUGCCGGUGACCAGACAGAGCCUGGCCUGGGCCAAGUCCCCACUGACCACACUUUCCCCAAGGCUGGGUCUCAAAGGACCCUACAGGAUGGGGACAGGAACAAGGAUGGGAGUCGGGGAGGGGCUGUCAGGCAGAGGGCAGAUGCAGCUCCUCGGGUGCCGCUGGCUGGAGUCCUUUGUCUCCAUUUGCUCAGUGCGUAAUUGUCAUUUUGUGGGGGACUUCCUUGGUGGGGCUUUUCCAUGCUUUUCCUCUCCCUGAUGGUUACAAAGAGGAGACAGUCAGGAUCUGGGAGGAGCUGGAGCCUUCCCCCUGUGCUGUUGAACUCUGGGAGGGGCAGCCAGAGGGGCUGAGAGUGCACCAUCCUGAAAAGAGAGGGUCUUUAAGAGAUAAGAUUUAGGCUAGGGAAAUUCACUAGAAAGAGACAGGUGGCCCUGGGUUUUUUUUCCUGCCAUCCAAAGGGAACCAGUCUUACCCAAAGGCUUAAGGGGUCACCUUAGCCCAGUCUCAGGACACUCUUCUCCAAUCAGAUCGCUGCUUCUAGUUGCACUGCUCCUGGAUUCUGUUCUUGGGGAACAGAAGGUGGCAGGACAGGCCCCACAAUCUGCAAUUCCAGCUCCCUCCAGAGGAGACAGUCCCAGCGUUUGCAAGAGAGCAGCUUGUGGCCUCCCUUAGGCAAGUUUAAAAGCCAGAUGUCCUUUUUCCCAGAAUGCGGAGUGGUGUGUACUAUUCAUCAGCUUGGGCUGCCACAGCACCAUGCCAGACUGGAUGGCUUAAACAUCAGGAAUUUAUUUUCUGCCAGUUCUGGAGGCUGGAAAGUCCAGAUCAAGGUGUUAAGACUUGGUUUCUGGUGAGGCCUCUCUCCUUGGCUUGCAGGUGGCACCUUCUCACUAUGUCCUCACAUGGCCUUUUCUCUGUGGAGAGGGACAGAGAGCAUGAGCAGGCUCUGGUGUCUCCUCCUCUUCUUAUAAAGACACUAAUAUCACCAUAUUAGGGCUUAAACCUAUGACCUCAUUUAACCUUAACCCCUUAAAGGUCCCAUCUCCAAAAACAGUCACAUAGCAGGCUACUGCUUCAACAUAUGCAUUUGGGGGAGGGGACACCAUUCAGUUCUUAACAGGGUGGUCACCGCAAACAUGGAAAGUCAGAGCCUUCUCCCCUUCAGAAUUCCCGCCCCCACCCAGGGAUGGGGAGGAGGAGCAGAGAGGUAUGGGAAGCAGACACGGAGAGUGGCAGGUACCAUGCUGGGGUGGCUCAGGAGUGCUUCGGAGGACAUAUGGAACUGGCAGGGCUCAGUGCAGGGAGGCGGAGGCCCUGGGAGAGCCGUGUCCUGAGAAGGGCCUGGGCUACAACCCUGGGCAAGUUACUUCACCUCUGAGCCUCCGAUGCUCUGUGAAAUGGAAGGAAUGUGCUUGCCUGUCAGGUGCAGGGAGAAUUCAGUGAGAUUGUGUGCCUAGCACAGUGCCUGACUCCCAGUAGGUGCUCAGCAAAUGCUCCCAUCCAUCUGGGAGUAUAGACUUAGGGUUUAUCUAUUUUUUUUUUUUUUUGGCUCUCUGGACUUUAAAACUCAGCAUCUUCUGAACCAGAGGCAUUUCUGAUUAGCCCUUCCCUACCUAUUUUCCUAGUAUCACUCUUUAAUCAGCUUGGGGAGGUGGCAGCAUUUCAUGGCCUCCGUAGUAACUCACAAUGCUUCCUGGGGUAUUUAAAUUCUACUCUCUCAUCAGCACUGAGCACCUACUUUGGGCCCUUUCCCGUGCUAGCCAUUUGGGGGAAAUAUAGGUGAAGAGUGGCUGGGGUUUGAACCUUUAGGAUUUCACAGCCAUGCUGGAUGGGAUAAAACCAGCUCACAUGGAGAAUCAGAGAAUGGGACAGUGCCACAAAACAGUCUACUGAGGCACAAGUUCUGAGUGCCUGGGAAGUGGUAGAGAGACCCCAGAGAGGGCUGCUGCAGUCUGGAACAGCUUCCUAGCAAGCUGUACCAAACAGGGCCUUGAAGGAUGAGAAAGAUCUGGCUGAGAUGAUACCCGACCCUCUAGGGAAAUUCUUAAAGUAACUUCUAGGAAAUGUCAUUGCUCCUUAAAAAAAAAAAAAAAAAAAAAAAAGCAGGUUCUAAUUCAAAUUCCGCUGCACUACUGAAGUAGUGCAGGACUUAUCAGAACCUUUAAAAUGCUAAUGGCAAUUUCAAAUACUCAGGGACAGGGCAUAGGAUGAAGUGUUCCUUGACUUUUAUGGCCGUAGAAUCUUUUUCUCAUGGAACAUCGUUUAGAACUGUGGGAGAUGCUAGGCUGGGGUUUCUAUGGGAAAAGUACAGCAGUGAUAGAAGAUGGCAUAAUUAGGGUACACUUAGGUGCUUUGUAGCAUUGGCUGAAAAGGAAGCAGACCGGGUGGGCGUGGGGGAGUCUCAACUUGGUUCCAGGAGCCAGGCCAGCUUGAUGCGUUUUUUUUUUUUCUAAUGGUGGGAGGGCAGGCCAAUAGUUGGAGAAACUAGAGGCCUGACAGUCGGUGAUGGAAGAGAUGUCUACUAAGCACGGUUGUCAGAUCUUUUGCGGAGAGAUGCGGGUGUGCGUGUGUCUGUCAGAGUGUAACAGGAUCCAGCCCUCUGGGAAGGGGCUGACCAGAACCAGGCAGGGGGUUUCUGUCUAGGACAAGUAGGGUCCAUUUUCAGGGGAGCUGAAAUAUUUGCAGGGGGUGCUCUGAGACCCACAGCCAAUAAAUAGGGAAGCAACAUGCUUUUGGGCAGGGUCCAUGUGGUUAGGGUUGAUUUUGAUGGGGCUGGGGGGCUUAGAGUUAGACCCCCUGCCCUGGUCAGGCCCCACUCCCUGGCUGGUGGGGGCGGGAGGCCUCUGAAGCUGCAGCUGGAGGGGCCGGGGCAGUGUUGCAUGGUGUGAUUAACCUACUAACCCAGGGCUCAGCCGGGACGCUGUGGCGUGUGACGAGGUGCCUGGCCUUCUGCCAACCAACUAACCCACUAACCAGGCCCGAGCAUGCCCUACUAACCACCCCCCCGCAGCCAGAUCCUACUAACUGUGCAGCUCAUGGGCCUUUCAAGGGGCUGGGAUAUGGGGGCAGCCAAGGCUCCAGAAGGCUCUGCCUAUGGGCUGGGAUCUUUGUGCAGACCCACGUUCCAGGACAGAGAAUGCAAAUAAGACUCACCAACUCUGCCACUUCCUGUUGAGUGAGUUUGAGUAAGUCACCUCACUUCUCUCAACCUCAGUUUCCUCAGUGGUAGAAUGCGAGUUCUGAUACCUUACAGGUUGCAGUGAGGAUUCCCGUCAAUAUAAGGGUCUCAGCACAUGGCAGACACCUAAAAAAAAAAAAAGUAUGAGGAUGGAGGAAGGCCCCUCAAACCUGGUUGAACACGUCUGCUGCCUAGGCCCUGGCCUCUCUGGGUGUUCUGCACACAGAUCCUUCUGCCUGGGGCAAGACACUUGGCUUUGAAUCCAUGUCACUUCCCCACAUUCUUCCUCCGUCUCAGCUUUCUUUUCUGUAGGCAGCUCUUUUGUUCGAUUACUAACCCGUCUAACCCCUGGGGUGCCUCAACUGCACCCCGAUCAUCCCUUAACAAACUAACGGACCUGCGUGCGUUCUUCCUUUUCUCUUAGCGACUCCUGUGUGUGUCUGCUGAGGUGCCCUGUCCGCUGGUGCUGUGCUCUGACUUACUAACCCAGCCCCUACUAACCCUGUUUUCUCUUCUUACUAACCCCAGCCCUGCCGAGCUCUGGGCUCCCCCCGGGGGCUGGUCCCCCUCCUUUUGGCAAGCAGAUGACCUGGGGCUACUGGCCCUGUAGACAGAUGUCCCACUUUGCUGCCCCAUAUUGGCUGUAAGAUCAGAGUCCACUGGGCCAGGUCUAAGGCAGGGGAUGGCCCUAUUAACAAGACUCAGAGGAGGAAGAGGUGGUCCUGUGGAUGUGGGAGGCUGGACUCUGAGUAUGACAUCUCUCCUAUGUGCAGAAGUCUGGUUGCCACUGGGAGUAGGUGGGACCAGGGAAAUCUCUGGGACGUGAGUGUGGAGGCCUGUUGGUCUAGACUCUAGACUGUGGAGCUCUGAGCUUUUGUGUCCUCUGGAAGGAAGCUGGGGAAGAAUCCUCUCCAUUGUUAAGUGACGGGGAUAGAAGCUGUCCUGCACAGGAAGUCACGAGGGGGGCGUAUCCCACGAGGAAGGCAGGAGGGGGCGUGCCCCUCACCGGAAAUUAGCAGAGGGGCGUGUCCCACACCGGAAGUCAGAAAGCGGAGCCUUUCUUACACCGGAAGUCAAUGAAGCGGGUCUUUCCUACGCUAAAAACCACUGAGUGGAGUAUUUAGUACACAGGAAGUCGGCCAGAGAAACAUUUCUCAUAUUUGAAGGCCGGAAAGAGGGACAUUUCUGACACCGGAAGUCAGUGAGAGGACUCUUUCCCACACAGGAAGUCAGCUAGAGAGCCGUCUCCCCUCUCUGGAGCCGAGAGAGGCCGGUUUCCCCCACCAUAGCAGGGCUGGGAGAAAGGGAUGGGGAGAGUCCCUCCUGCCACUGACCCAGGAUGGAUAAAAGUACCCCUUUCAUAGAAGGAAGAAAAUGGGAACAAAGGUGCUGCUGAUCAUCUGAGGUUGCCUGCAUGGCAGUGAAGAACAUGGACCUUUGGGUAGCCCACCUGGGAGGAAUUUUCCAGAGAUCACUGUCUGAUGACCCUGUCUUGGAAUUGGAGCCAUGCAAGUUACACUGACCACGUUUGGGUUGGGAUAUUGAGGAGGUUAUGGUUAAAAGCAUACGAUGGGAGAUCAUAUUGUACUUGCGAGUGAGACCCGGCUGGAGGAAUGUUUUAAUUCUUCGGAAAUACCAAGUGGUCUCUGGGGACCUUUGGCCAUGUCUUGAGAUGUUUUUGGUUGCCGUGAUUGAGGAGGUGCUACCAGCGUCUGCUGGGCAGAGACCAGGGAUGCUGCUCCACAUCCCACAAUGCACAGGACAAUCUUCUCUACAGCAAUGAAUUAUCCAGUUCACAAUCUCAAUAGCACCAAUAUUGAGAAACCCUGUUGAAGAUGGAGACUAUCCACGGGGCAUUGAUCUUGGGGUCUCCCCCUUCCUGAAUACUUGAAGUCCCUCGGCAGACUCUUGGAUACCUCCAGCAAUGGGGAGCUCACCACCUGUUUUGAAGCCAGGCAGGUUUGGGCUCUUCUUGUAGCUGUGUGACUCUGGAUUUUCCCAUAGGUGGGAGUGGAUCCACCACCUUGAGCUUCAGUUUCCUCCAGUGCCAUGGGAUUAGCAGCAGCCCUGCCUCACAGAUUGCGUGAGGAUGAAAUGAGAUGAUGCUCCUGAGUUGGCUGGUGCAGUGCACGGUACACAGAGAGUGCUCAAUAAAUGUUCC
rnacentral:lncRNA from 1 species